rnacentral:rRNA from 1 species
CAUGGGCGCAACCUGAUCUAGCCAUGCCGCGUGAGUGAUGAAGGCCUUAGGGUCGUAAAGCUCUUUCGCCAGGGAUGAUAAUGACAGUACCUGGAAAAGAAACCCCGGCUAACUCCGUGCCAGCAGCCGCGGUAAUACUGCAGGGGGUUCAGCGUUGUUCGGAAUUACUGGUGCGUAAAGCGUACGUAGGCUGAGUAGCAAGUAAGGGGCGAAAUCCCAGGGCUCAACCCCGGGACUGCCUUUAAUACUGCUAGUCUUGAGUUCGAGAGAGGUGAGUGGAAUUCCGAGUGUAGAGGUGAAAUUCGUAUAUAUUCGGAGGAACACCAGUGGCGAAGGCGGCUCACUGGCUCGAUACUGACGCUGAGGUACUAAAGUGUGGGGAGCAAACAGGAUUAGAUACCCUGGUAGUCCACACCGUAAACGAUGAAUGCCAGUCGUCGNGUAGCAUGCUAUUCGGUGACGCACCUAACGUAUUAAGCAUUCCGCCUGGGGAGUACGGUCGCAAGAUUA